rnacentral:rRNA from 1 species
AUGGAUUAUUGCGAUGUUUUUGUGAGACAGCUGGUGUCUCCAUCCUUGAAACAUCUGCGCGUUACCCGCUGCUAUACUUCUCGCGAUUACCGCAUUCUUAUUUCUCUACCAAAUCUUGUUUCGCUCGAGUUCAUCCAGUGGGGCGAAGGAAGGGCUCCAUUGCUUGGAAACUUGCCGCAGUUAGCAAGAGCUGAUAUUUUUCUUAACGGGGAUUGUGCUGAUCAAUGCUCUGAGGGUCGGUUUGAUGGUUGUGAUGCUGAUGACAGUGAUACCUGUUAUGGUUGUUAUUAUUAUUAUGGGGAUCCUGUAUAUGGGCCUCAUUAUGACCGCAACAACUGCGUCGUUCUCAAAGGUUUGUCAGAAGCCACAGACUUGGAGUUGACAGCUUAUCAUGAUCUGACUGUUUUGAACAGGGAUUUGAAGUAG